UACGGAGGGAGCUAGCGUUGUUCGGAAUUACUGGGCGUAAAGCGCACGUAGGCGGCUUUGUAAGUUAGGGGUGAAAGCCCGGGGCUCAACUCCGGAACUGCCUUUAAGACUGCAUCGCUUGAAUCCAGGAGAGGUGAGUGGAAUUCCGAGUGUAGAGGUGAAAUUCGUAGAUAUUCGGAAGAACACCAGUGGCGAAGGCGGCUCACUGGACUGGUAUUGACGCUGAGGUGCGAAAGCGUGGGGAGCGAACAGG
rnacentral:rRNA from 1 species